UACGUAGGGCGCAAGCGUUGUCCGGAAUUAUUGGGCGUAAAGAGCUCGUAGGCGGUCUGUCGCGUCUGCCGUGAAAACCCGAGGCUUAACCUCGUGGCUUGCGGUGGAUACGGGCAGACUAGAGGUAGGUAGGGGAGAAUGGAAUUCCCGGUGUAGCGGUGAAAUGCGCAGAUAUCGGGAGGAACACCGGUGGCGAAGGCGGUUCUCUGGGCCUUACCUGACGCUGAGGAGCGAAAGCGUGGGGAGCGAACCGG
rnacentral:rRNA from 1 species